UGUAGGAGCCGGCUUGCUGGCGAUGGAGUGUCAGGCGACAUCAAUGUGGCUGACCCACCAUCGCCAGCAAGCCGGCUCCUACA
rnacentral:misc_RNA from 1 species